GGGGAUGUAGCUCAGUUGUAGAGCACUUGCCUAGCAUGCUUGGAGGCUGGGUUCCAUUCCCAGUACUGCCA
rnacentral:tRNA from 1 species